UUCUCCUUUAAGUUUUGUGCACUUUAUUAGUUCUCCCCUUUUCUGUGUGGAUGUCGAUGGGGAGGGGCACAUUGUUAAAGCCAUGUUUAACGGGAGGAUUGGCUUUUUCUGACUGUUAUCAGUUAGCCUGGAUCGUAGCAGUGGCUGGUUGUGUCACUCGUGUGACAUGCUGCGCCCCCCACUCACCAGUGCAAUGUCCUCUCCACUAUCAAGACUUGCACACAC